rnacentral:rRNA from 1 species
GACGAACGCUGGCGGCGUGCUUAACACAUGCAAGUCGAAUGGAAAGGCCCUGCUUUUGUGGGGUGCUCGAGUGGCGAACGGGUGAGUAAAACGUGAGUAACAUGCCCUUGACUUUGGGAUAACUUCAGGAAACUGGGGCUAAUAUCGGAUAGGAGCUCCUGCUGCAUGGUGGGGGUUGGAAAGUUUCGGCGGUUGGGGCUGGACUCGCGGCUUAUCAGCUUGUUGGUGGGGUAGUGGCUUACCAAGGCUUUGACGGGUAGCCGGCCUGAGAGGGUGACCGGCCACAUUGCGACUGAGAUACGGACCAGACGCCUACGGGAGGCAGCAGUGGGGAAUAUUGCACAAUGGGCGGAAGCCUGAUGCAGCAACGCCGCGUGCGUGAUGACGGCCUUCGGGUUGUAAACCGCUUUCGCCUUUGACGAAGCGUUAGUGACGGUAAUGGGUAAAGAAGCACCGGCUAACUACGUG